rnacentral:rRNA from 1 species
GACUAAGCCAUGCAUGUACUAGUUCAUACAUUGUAAAUGUGAGACUGCGGACGGCUCAGUAAAUCAGUUAUAAUCUGCUCGAUUGUAAAGGUUAUUGGAUAACCGUGGGAAAUCUAGAGCUAAUACAUGUAUUUAUUGGUGCUUCGCGGCAUCAAUUGCAUUUAUUGGACAAUACCAACUGUACAAGCAAUUGUAUAUGGUGAAUCUAGAUAACUGUGCAGAUCGUAUGGCCUUGAGCUGACGACAUUUCGAUUGAGUUUCUGCCAUAUCAACUUGUACGCAGUUUAAGGAACUGCGUAGGUGUUGACGUGUGACGGGGGAUCAGGGUUCGAUUCCGGAGAGGGAGCCUGAGAAACGGCUACCACAUCCAAGGAAGGCAGCAGGCGCGCAAAUUACCCAAUCCAGACAAUGGGAGGUAGUGACAAAGAGUACCAGAUGGCGACAAUUUGUCGUUAGUUUGGAAUGAAGCCAAUUUAAGAAAUUGUGUUGAUAAACUACUGGAGGGCAAGUCUGGUGCCAGCAGCCGCGGUAAUUCCAGCUCCAGUAGGGUGUUGUAACGUUGCUGCGCUUAAAACGCUCGUAGUUGGAUCAUCUGCUGUACGUUUGUGAAUUUGUAGCAUGUUACUGUUGACUUGUAGUGUUCGAAUAGUUGUGUUCUCACGCUGUUUAGAAUUUACAAGAGUGCGUGCUGCAGAUUGUAAGCAGACGUGCAGUAAUUACGCGUGAGGAUGGUUGUUGACCUUGAGUGUGUUGAUAACCGUGUCUUGCGGAGUGUGCCUUGAGUAAAUCAGAGUGCUAAAGCAGGCGUAACGCUUGAAUGUUGAUAGCAUGGAACGAACAAUCGUGUAUGGUGUGGGCUGUGCGUUGGUGUAUCUAUAUUUUUAGUGCAUUGCAGUAUGCCUCACCUACCUUGAUUGCGGAUGUUGGUUUCCGUAUAUGGGUAAUGAUUAAGAGGAGCGGUUGGGGGCAUUGGUAUUUGGCAGCGAGAGGUGAAAUUCUUAGACCUGCCAAGGACUAACAAAUGCGAAAGCAUCUGUCCAGACCGUAUCCAUUGAUCAAGAACGAAAGAGAAAGGUUCGAAGGCGAUCAGAUACCGCCUUAGUUUUUUCUGUAAACUAUGCCGACCCGAGAUUAGUCUGAGCGCAAUUUAUUGACGCCUCAGGUUGGUCCCCCUGGGAAACCUAAAGUUUUUUGGUUGCGGGGGGAGUAUGGUCGCAAGGCUGAAACUUAAAGGAAUUGACGGAAGGGCACCACCAGGGGUGGAGCCUGCGGCUUAAUUUGACUCAACACGGGAAAACUUACCUAAACAGAAUAUAAGGGUGAUGGUCAGGUCCAAAGACCUUACCUGAUUUUAUACAUGGUGGUGCAUGGCCGUUCUUAGUUCGUGGAGUGAUCUGUCGGCUUUAUUGCGAUAACGAACGAGACCACAGUCUUUGUUUAAUGACGCAUAGAAGGCGGUGGUGGCUGUAUUUAUAUGGCUGUCAUUGCUACAGGCAUAGUUUGCGCUGGCAUUGUAGUUGUCUGCCUUGGUGGAUAAUGAAGGUGUCGUGUGUAAAUGUAUCCCUCUGUGUUAGCAUUGUGUGACCAGCGAUGGUUGUGUAGUGUUUUACAAAGAGACUACCAAAUAUUCCAAAUUGGUGGAAGUGUGGCCAUAACAGGUCUGUGAUGCCCUUAGAUGUUUAGGGCUGCACGCGCGCUACAAUGACUACAACAACGAGUUUCUGAAUCGAAAGAUUUGGGUAAUCUUGAAAUGGUAGUCGUGAUGGGGAUUGACAAUUGUAAAUUUGUCAUGAAAGAGGAAUCCCUAGUACGUGCAAUUCAUGAGAUUGCGCGGAUUUAGUCCCUGCCCUUUGUACACACCGCCCGUCGCUACUACCGAGUGAAUAGUGUCAUAAUGCCUUGUGAGCGGACAUUGUGGCAAGAAAUUGUCGUAAUGCUGCAACCAGCGUAGAAUGGCGCAUUCGGGGA